UAAAAAUAUGAUAUUAAUGAAUAAUAUAGACUUAUCUAAAUGUAGGUUAUGUAUCAUAAAGUAAUGUAAAAUAAUCAUAAAAUAAUAUAUAAAGUAAAAGAAUAAUAUAACUCCCUUCUACUGAUUUGAGACAUUCAUAUUGUGAUAUGACCUUUUCUACCAAGAUUUUUCAUAAAUUUUCAUAAUAAAAUUAGUCUUAUUAGAAAAACAAAAUUGUGUUUACAAUUAUGUAUCUAUAUAUGAAAGACUCAAAGAUGGAAAGUAUUUCUUUUAUAAAUUUUAAAAAAAUUCAUUUAAAAAAAUCUAUUUUUUCCAUCAAAUUUUCAAAAUUGUAAACCUAACAUGUUUUCGGGAAAAAUGAUUUUUUUUUUAAAAUUCAAAAUUGAUUCAAGAUUAACACAAUUAAAAUGUGUCAUUAAAUGUAAAAAAAAUUAUUCUAAAUUGUACUAUUAUUGCAUUUUGCUGUACAAAUGUAAAUGACUUUUAAGUAGGUGGUCAUGCAUCACAUUUUUAUUGUAUGUAUCAAACUACAAAUACUAUAUAGUAAGUUAGCUUAAUUAAAUAAGAAAAAAUGCAUUAGAUUGUUGGGAAGAGUAGCAACUGAGUGGUACCACACGUCAUCACCACCUUGCGAUAUUGAUGCAGAUAAUGUUGAGGAGGAGCAGUUAAAGAUGGCACCCAAUGACAGUGAUGAAGAACCAGAUGUUUGGAAAGAUGAUCCACUGUGAAUUCGCAAGUCGUCACUGUAUGUAUUUGUAAUUGGUGAGGCAGCUGAAGUUCUUGUUGGUAAUCCUUCACCCGCAUCCGUAACACGUGAUAGACAACAACUGGUAUCUUUGUAGAUUAACAGUGAUAUUUUCUACACAUUGUUAAAGUGGAAUUUCAAAUAGAUGUAUAAAUUAUAUUUAAAAAUUUCAAAUUUUAAUUCACUCCAUUAAUCAAAUUUAAAUUACAUUAAUUGUAAUCUGUUCCAACUUCAAUUCUUUUUUUAAACAUUAUGGUUAAAUUAUAAUUUUUAAUUUCGAAUCCAAUACCAAAUUAACAAGAUUUUUAAAUUUACAAAUUAAAUUUUAUUUUUAAUUGGAAUUUAUUAUAUAAAUUCGAAAUGUGUUUUUUCCUGUAUUUAUAAAAAAGUAAAUUGAUAUAAAUUUUCUUUAUUAUUUGCAAAAUUUUAAUUGCUUUUAAUUCAAUUAUUAAAUUCAUUUUGGAGAAACAACUAUUUUACUACAACCAUGUAAAUUGUUAAAUCCAAAUUCUUUUUUAUGAAAAAAAUAAUUUUGAAAUUCCACUUCCUUUAUAUCCAAUUGUUAUAAUAAUUUGUAGUUUGAUGCAUGCUAUGGUUUUUUUUUUCAGUAUUCUCUCAAAAAGUUAAAACAUUGUACAAUGCACUUCUCCGCAACCUCCUGCAUGCCCCAUUACACUGACGGGCUGAUCCUGCUUUGCUGCAUGGCGGUACUUGCUUCUUGUUGUGCUCGUUGCUGCUGCUGAGUGAAGGUGCAGUUUUACGAGUCUUUCAUGCAUUACGCUUACAAAUAGUUACACCAACUACAUAAUACAUGGAAAAGACAGCAGAUUGACAACUCUCCGGAACACAAAAAAUAUGUAGACCUAAGAUUGCGAGGCAUAAUAAUAGUCUUCAUCUUGAAGGUCAUCUGGAGGUCAAUGGGAGCCAGAUAAAGAAAUAGCAAAAGAAGCAUCUUACACUGAAGAAAAUUUUUGAUAAAAAAUAUACUUAAAAUAUUGAAUAAUAAAUAGUUAAAUUCUCAGGGAUAUAAAUUUAAUUUUAUAUUGAUAUAAACUAAAAGGUAAUUUCCUAAAUGGUAGUAAUAAUUGUAUUUUUUUUUUUGGUAAAACUGAAUGUGGAGCUCUUGUUAAUGACCUGGUCUCAAAUCCUUUAAAAUGUCAAUAAAUUUAUCUCAUGACUGUAAAAGCUAUUUUUACACUUCCUAAUUUUAUUCUUAAAUAUAGACUAAAGUUUAUUAGACUAAUUUUGAGACAGACCAAUGUAAAAUUGACUUAAGUUCAAUGGGCAUGAUUUGGAAAAAUUAUUGUGUAAAACAACUGUUAGUCUGUUUCUAGGGAAUUGUUCAGUUAUUAUUUGCCCAAGUCAGACCCAUUGUAUAUAGAUAGCAUACAAAUUUAGGUUUUUUAAAUAUUUUAGCUAAGAAAUGACCUCAUUAUACUGUAAAUUUUAUUUCAAAGAU